CGGAGGAAGGUGGGGAGUGACGUCAAAUCAUCAUGCCCCUUAUGACCUGGGCUACACACGUGCUACAAUGGGCGGUACAAAGGGUCGCGAACCCGCGAGGGGGAGCCAAUCCCAAAAAGCCGCUCUCAGUUCGGAUUGCAGGCUGCAACUCGCCUGCAUGAAGCCGGAAUCGCUAGUAAUCGCGGAUCAGCAUGCCGCGGUGAAUACGUUCCCGGGCCUU
rnacentral:rRNA from 1 species